UUUAUGAGUCAUUCCGUGCACAUAGGGGAAUUUAGCUUUCUGUGUGCGGUACAGGAUGGUACAGAGCCGGUUGUGAAAGGACGUGCUCCCUGGGGACAGUGUUCAUAGCCUACUCAGUAUUCUGGACAUCAGAUGGAGUGGAAAUAUAGUCUCAUCCCAAAUGGCACCCUAUCCCCUUUAUAGUGCACUACAUUUGGCCAUAGGGCUGUUGUCAAAAGUAGUGCACUAUAUAGGGAAUUGGCUGUCAUUUUGGACAAGACUUUUUCUCCGCUCCAUCUGACUCGCCUCACACAGGGUUGUAUGAGAGGGGAGUCUGGUCAGGAUCCCACGCAGACCCCACUUUCAGGAGGACGCUGUCUCCAAACCCCCCUAUACCCUACAUGCCAUAUAGGGAAUAGGGUGCCAUUUGGGUCACCAAUACCUUUGCCUCUGGCCCUGCAUCUGCCUCACUAAUGUCUGAAUCACCCCCCUUCCCUCUCUGUCCUCCCAUCUGUCCUCCAGUCCAUCCUGAAGAAGAGUGUGACCAUGCAGCACACACCCUUGGCGGUGUUCCACUACACAGACAGUGAGGGAUGCUCUGACAACGUCCACCCCAGCAAGGUCAGCGCCAUCGUCCAGACCUGCUGGGCAUCAUCAAGCUGCAGUUGGAGCAGAUGCUGGAGGGUAGUGCGGUGAGGGCCCAGAAGCAGCUGGUGUUGUUAGACAGUGAGGAUGGCCCACUACCCCAGGGAACUGUGGAGAGGCUCAACAUGAGGAGCUGGAUCUCCAGACACCUGCACCUCUCCUGCCCAUGCAGGGUCUACUACACAGGCACGCACGCAAACACACACAUCUGAUCUGCCAAAACUGCACAAUCAGACACCACCCAUAACCAAGUUAGAAUUGCCAAAUAACCCCACUGUUAUUUCUAGUGUCCAACCACUAGAAGUGGUGUGUUAAGCUCUUCUGAUUGUCUGUCUCUCCUCUGCAGAUAGAGAUGUACCCGCUUGUGUUCCAAAAGACAGCUGACAGCCAUUCAGACUUUUCACGUCUGCCCAGGGUGCUGACCGGAAAUGCCAUCGCCCUCAUAUGGGGGAGGAGGAGACAGGAGAUGUUUCAAGGUUGGUUCCUCUUGUCUCUCUCUCUCUUGUGUUUUGUUCAGGAGAUGUUUCAAGGUUGGUUCCUCUUGUCUCUCUCUCUCUUGUGUUUUGUUAAAUGCCUUGAACUAUGUGUCUUGUUCCCCUUGUGA
rnacentral:lncRNA from 1 species